ACUACUCCCAGUUUUGGAUUUUUUUUUAAACGUUUGGCUCUUCGUCUUAUUUAAAAUAAAAUUAUUAGUAUUUCUGUUGUUAUUAGAUGAUAAAAUAUUAAUAGUAAUUUAUGCAUGACUUAUUUUUUAAAAAUAUUUUAUAAAUUUUUUAAAUAAAACGGACGGUUAAAUGUUAGACAUAGAAACCCAAAACUUCACUUAAA
rfam:Oryza glaberrima chromosome 6 Oglab06_0146_9, whole genome shotgun sequence.